AGGACGAACGCUGGCGGCGCGCUUAACACAUGCAAGUCGAGCGAGAACCAGGCCUUCGGGCCUGGGGAAAGCGGCGAACGGGUGAGUAACACGUGGGUAACCCACCCUUGGUACCGGGAUAGCCCGAGGAAACUCGGAUUAAUACCGGAUGGCCCAACAGCUUCUCGGAGCGGUUGGAAAAGGUAGCUUCGGCCUCCGACCAAGGACGGGCCCGCGGUGGAUUAGCUUGUUGGUGAGGUAACGGCUCACCAAGGCUUCGAUCCAUAGCUGGUCUGAGAGGACGAUCAGCCACACUGGGACUGAGACACGGCCCAGACUCCUACGGGAGGCAGCAGUGGGGAAUCUUGCGCAAUGGGCGAAAGCCUGACGCAGCGACGCCGCGUGGGGGAAGAAGGCUUUCGGGUGUAAACCCCUUUCAGGAAGGACGAAGCCACUCGGGUUAAUAGCCCAGAGGGUGACGGUACUUCCAGAGAAGCCCGGCUAACUACGCGCCAGCAGCCGCGGUAA
rnacentral:rRNA from 1 species